ensembl:lncRNA
UGUUUUCCUUUUGAUGGGACAGUUGGAGGUGACUUCAGAAAGACACAAGUAAAGGACUGAAGAUGGGAAAUAUUCUAGAGAUGCGAAAGAAAUACUAGGUUAUGUAGGGUUUACAAAGACGACAUUUCAGAAAGAAGCACAUUUGGAAAAAGAAAAAGUGGCAGGCCUGGAAUUGUUCCAAGAAGUCAGGAAAACAGGGCCAUUUAGCCGAAUGGGUCAUGCUUAGGGUCUCUUGGUGGUGAAGAUACUGAGCCAGGCUGUCCUCAUCUGAAGGCUCAAGGUGCUAGAGAAGCCACUUCCAACCUCAUCAGUGGCUGCAGGCCUUGUUCCUUGCCAGGCGGGUCUCUCUCCCUGGCUCUUUUGGACACAGCAGCUCGUUUCUACCAAAAAUUUCGAGGCUGUGGAGCAGAUGGUUUGAUCAAGGGCCUAGCAGCCUUUUCUUCGCUUGCUGUAAAAUGCCAGCUGUAAGAACUUCUGAGAUCACAGGGAGAAAGAAACUCUCAUCCUCUUGAUGGAAAAUGAAAAUCCUUGUAGCAUUUAUGAGACUUGGAGAGGAAGUGGCUGUUCACUUCAUGAUAUGGAGAACUACAUGGGGCAAAGGCCCAAAGCGCUGAGCCUGCUUUCCAUCAUGCUACACACAGUGAAGGACACAGACACGCCAGAUAGUCUAUAUUGGAUACAGAUGUCUCAAGAGGAGCAAGUUUAUUCUGUUCAACUGCUAUGGUAACACCAGCUGCUUAUGAAAUCAUGGGAUGAGAGGGGUGAGGAGGCCUCCAUGUUCAGACAUAUAUUUACAGUGAUUUUUACAAACCUCAUUAUUUCCAAAGAAGAGCAAGAUGAAAG